GACAUAGGUGGCGAACGUUAUCCGGAUUUAUUGGGCGUAAAGCGUCCGCAGGUGGCUAUGUAAGUCUGCUGUUAAAGAGUGAGGCUCAACCUCAUAAGAGCAGUGGAAACUACAUGGCUAGAGUGCGUUCGGGGCAGAGGGAAUUCCUGGUGUAGCGGUGAAAUGCGUAGAGAUCAGGAAGAACACCGGUGGCGAAAGCGCUCUGCUAGGCCGCAACUGACACUCAUGGACGAAAGCUAGGGGAGCGAAUGGG
rnacentral:rRNA from 1 species